rnacentral:rRNA from 1 species
UACGAAGGGGGCUAGCGUUGCUCGGAUUGACUGGGCGUAAAGGGCGCGUAGGCGGUUCGUACAGUCAGACGUGAAAUUCCUGGGCUCAACCUGGGGGCUGCGUUUGAUACGUGCGGACUUGAGUGCGGAAGAGGGUCGUGGAAUUCCCAGUGUAGAGGUGAAAUUCGUAGAUAUUGGGAAGAACACCGGUGGCGAAGGCGGCCUGCUGGGCUAUGGCUGACACUGAGGCGCGACAGCGUGGGGAGCAAACAGG